UACGUAGGGCGCAAGCGUUGUCCGGAUUUACUGGGCGUAAAGAGCUCGUAGGCGGCUGGCCAAGUCCGAUGUGAAAUCUCCCGGCUUAACCGGGAAACUGCAUCGGAAACUGGUCGGCUUGAAGGUGGGAGAGGGUAGCGGAAUUCCCGGUGUAGUGGUGAAAUGCGUAGAUAUCGGGAGGAACACCAGUGGCGAAGGCGGCUACCUGGCCCAUUCUUGACGCUGAGGCGCGAAAGCUAGGGGAGCGAACGGG
rnacentral:rRNA from 1 species